rnacentral:rRNA from 1 species
AGAACGAACGCUGGCGGCAUGCCUAAUACAUGCAAGUCGAACGAACUCUUCGGAGUUAGUGGCGCACGGGUGCGUAACGCGUGGGAAUCUGCCCUUGGGUUCGGAAUAACAGUUGGAAACGACUGCUAAUACCGGAUGAUGACGAAAGUCCAAAGAUUUAUCGCCCAGGGAUGAGCCCGCGUAGGAUUAGCUAGUUGGUGAGGUAAAGGCUCACCAAGGCGACGAUCCUUAGCUGGUCUGAGAGGAUGAUCAGCCACACUGGGACUGAGACACGGCCCAGACUCCUACGGGAGCAGCAGUAGGGAAUAUUGGACGAUGGGCGAAAGCCUG